GACGAACGCUGGCGGCGUGCCUAAUACAUGCAAGUAGAACGCUGAAGGAGGAGCUUGCUUCUCUGGAUGAGUUGCGAACGGGUGAGUAACGCGUAGGUAACCUGCCCGGUAGCGGGGGAUAACUAUUGGAAACGAUAGCUAAUACCGCAUAAUAGUAGAUGUUGCAUGACAUUUGCUUAAAAGGUGCAAUUGCAUCACUACCAGAUGGACCUGCGUUGUAUUAGCUAGUUGGUGGGGUAACGGCUCACCAAGGCGACGAUACAUAGCCGACCUGAGAGGGUGAUCGGCCACACUGGGACUGAGGCACGGCCCAGACUCCUACGGGGGGCAGCAGUAGGGAAUCUUCGGCAAUGGGCGGAAGUCUGACCGAACAACGCCGCGGGAGGGGAGGAGGGUUUCGGAUCGUAAAGCUCUGUUGUAAGAGAAGAACGAGUGUGAGGGUAGAAAGUUCACACUGUGACGGUAUCUUACCAGAAAGGGACGGCUAACUACGUG
rnacentral:rRNA from 1 species